rnacentral:rRNA from 1 species
GAUUAACGCUGGCGGCGUGCCUAACACAUGCAAGUCGAGCGGCAGCGAGUUUUACACUGAAUUCUGGAAGCUUCUAGUUGAAAGAGAAGAUUUAUUCAAGAAUUUUGUGUAAAAUGUCGGCGAGCGGCGGACGGCUGAGUAACGCGUGGGAACGUACCCCAAAGUGAGGGAUAACGCAUCGAAAGGUGUGCUAAUACCGCAUAUGGUCUUCGGAUUAAAGCCUUCGGGCGCUUUGGGAACGGCCUGCGUAAGAUUAGAUAGUUGGUGGGGUAAUGGCCUACCAAGGCGACGAUCUUUAACUGGUUUGAGAGGAUGAUCAGUCAGACUGGAGCUGAGACACGGUCCAGACUCCUACGGGAGGCAGCAGUGAGGAAUCUUCCACAAUGGGCGAAAGCCUGAUGGAGCAACGCCGCGUGCAGGAUGAAGGCCUUCGGGUUGUAAACUGCUUUUAUAAGUGAGGAUUAUGACAGUAACUUAUGAAUAAGGAUCGGCUAACUACGUG